ACAGAAAGAAAGGAGGGUGGGAGCGGCUUGUGCGUCCUGGCCUGCCGGGGUCCUGAUGUGAGGCCGCGAACAGGAUGCUAUUUCAGAGAGGAGACGAACCGCCCUCCGGCCGCCUGCAUUUCCAGGGCCCAGAGCCCCUUCAAAGGUACCAACCCUGACGAUGAACUCUGGGAAAACCAAGGUUCCGAAUAUUAUGGAUCCUCGUGUUAAUCCUAAUUAGAGCCCUCCUAUGAAUCCUGUGUUCCAGAUUUAUUGCACAUCUACCAUUUGCCGGACACCGUGGGACUCUGGAGACUUACUAAUUUAAAAGGGAGUGGAACGCUCUGUCCCAGAGCUGCGCAUGGUCCAGUCAAAAAGACCUGUCGGAAGAAUGGAAGGCAUUUCCUGGCACCUGGGCUGACUUUCCAUCUCUCCCUUCCCUACUGAUAAUGGUAGCUGCCAUGAUGGGGCCAUACCUUGUGUAUAGAUUGCCUGUAAUUCUCAUAAAGCCUUGCAAAGUAUUACUGUCAUAGAAGUGAAGAGACUGCCAGGUUAAAUUCAGUGCUAAGCAUGUAAAUGUUUACAAGUGGUCAUUGAUUAUUGAAUCUAUACCAUUAAUAAAAUAUUGUGCUAGUAGCUUUA